rnacentral:rRNA from 1 species
GAGGAGCCUGCGGCGGAUUAGCUAGUUGGUAGGGUAACGGCCUACCAAGGCGACGAUCCGUAGCCGGCCUGAGAGGGCGGUCGGCCACACUGACACUGACAUACGGGUCAGACUCCUACGGGAGGCAGCAGUCGGGAAUUUUGGGCAAUGGGCGAAAGCCUGGCCCAGCAACGCCGCGUGAAGGAUGAAAUCCCUCGGGAUGUAAACUUCGCAAGAACGGGAAGAAUAAGCGGGAGCCAACACCUCUCGUGACGACGGUACCGUUUGUAAGCUCCGGCUAACUCCGUGCCAGCAGCCGCGGUAAUACGGGGGGAGCAAGCGUUGUUCGGAUUUACUGGGCGUAAAGGGCGCGUAGGCGGCCACUGCAAGUCAAUUGUGAAAUCUCCGGGCUUAACUCGGAAAGGUCAACUGAUACUGCAGGGCUAGAGUGCGGAAGGGGCAACUGGAAUUCUCGGUGUAGCGGUGAAAUGCGUAGAUAUCGAGAGG